UACGGAGGGGGCUAGCGUUAUUCGGAAUUACUGGGCGUAAAGCGCACGUAGGCGGCUUUGUAAGUCAGAGGUGAAAGCCUGGAGCUCAACUCCAGAACUGCCUUUGAGACUGCAUCGCUUGAAUCCAGGAGAGGUGAGUGGAAUUCCGAGUGUAGAGGUGAAAUUCGUAGAUAUUCGGAAGAACACCAGUGGCGAAGGCGACUUACUGGACACAUAUUGACGCUGAGGUGCGAAAGCGUGGGGAGCAAACAGG
rnacentral:rRNA from 1 species